rnacentral:misc_RNA from 1 species
AUGGGCACAAGCUUUUCAACUUCAGUUUAGCGUCUCCUCUCCCAAAAUACCCUCAUGGUGUCCUUAGCGAAGAUGGGUUUUAUAAGCUAUCAGUGAACGAGUCUAUGCUCUGGUUUCAGCUAUGCAAUGGAAUGAUUUUUAAUCAUGAUCCACCCAGAUGUGUUGGUUGCCUGGAUUGUAGGGGNNNNNNNNNAUGUAGUGCACUUGUGACAAACAACAUAGGAGGUUAUGAUGUAUGCACUACUAUUGGGCAUGUCUCAAGCACUGUUACUAGCAUCUUUGAUAAACAGAAUCCACACAAAGGUGUAAUUGUUAAGAUGUCAAAUACUGUUAAGACGUCUGCUGGCUCUGAGAAUUGUUCACUCUCUGUCUCUGUCAUUUGCAAUUCAAAUGGUGUUCAAGGGCCACAUUCA